CCCAGCAGUAUACUUACCUGUGUACAUGGAAGACAUAAGUAAAUAUACUGCUGGAUAGAUUAUUAAUCAGUUGGAUCAAUGAUAUUGUUCCAUUGUAAGUAUCCAAACAUUUACUACUCCUUACUACUCCUAUACUUUGGGCCAAGGAGUAGCCAGGGUUGGCCAGAGAAAGCUUCUUUGUGAUAAGGUGGUUCUUCCCUGGAGCACAAUAACAAAACAGGAAAAAUCCAGGCCCCACCUCCCUCAUCCAAAGAAAUCCAAGAUUAUAUCUGUUUACUUACUUUAUGUACUUGUAAUUUCUGGUGCCAAUGGCUCUGCCACACAGGACUCUGGUAUUAGCAGAAAUCAAAAUGAAUCAGCAUGAGUGGUGCUGGCUUGGGAGUCCGCAGCACAGUGGAUGAACUUGGUCUAAGAGAUAAGUAAUGUUAAAUUUGAAACCCAAAGUUAGCCAUUGUUUAUAUUUUAACUUGUUGAUUAACGCAACAGUGAAAUGCUAGGAGAAACACUGUCUGGUGAUACGCACUUUAGACUCACUCUUUUGCCUGCAGACUGUAAACUAAGUUAGGGAGUUACACCAGCAUCCUCACUUGUUCAUCAGUUUUUUUCUUUAAGGGGAUGAGAAUAAAAUAAGACAACUAGGUUAACAGUUGCUACACCACAGAUUCACUUUUAAAGGCUUUGAUCCAUUUCACCUUUAGAGACAAUUAUUAUUUUUUAAAAAAUCAUAUAUUACUCACAUUAGUAAACUCAAUUUGUAAAGGCUUUUUAAGUGCAGAUGAUUGCCCAAGCACUUGGCAAAUAAAAGACAGGUAUGUGGGAGGAGUAUGACCUUGGGAGUCACAAGUCCUAGGUUCAAGUAUUGUGUUCACCAGCUAUUAUUAUCAGAGUCAUGUUGGAAAAAUUGUAUAACUUUUCUCAGCUUUAGUUUCCUCAGUUUAAAAUAGGCAUAAUCAAGUGACUGCCAGGGGCUGGGGAAAGAAGGGAAUGGGGAAGGAUUGCUAAUGAGUAUGGAGUUUGCUUUUGGGUGUGAUGAAAGUGUUUUGAAACUGGAUAGAGGCGGUAGUUACAAGCAUUGUGAAUGUACUAAAUGCUGCUGAAUCCUAUACUUUGAAAUGGUUAAUGACAGAUUGUUGGAAAAUGGUGGAUAGGAGGCAGGACUAACUUGCAGCUUCCACACAGAGAGAACAGCAUGUGGAGACUCACAUAGUGAAAUUUUCCUCCAAGAAGUACUGCAUGAACAUACCAAGAAAACCAAAAGAAUUCACAGAACCUUUGAAAGAGGUGGCUUGCCGCUGCAAACUCCAUGAGACGGCCGAAAAACUAUUGCUGGUGUGACAGACUGUUCACAACUGCUUGCUUCCUAAUGUUCACUGGAAAUUAAAGUCACUGAAGAUUAAGAAUUCUGAUUAAUACAUAGGAUCUGGGUUUAUUCAUCACACUGGAUGGAUCUUGAGUCCUUAUCCUUGAGGCCAUUGCAAUGAGUCAGAUGAGCAUGCUUCUUCAUGAUAGAGGACUGGAGACCACUUCUGUAGGAGAAUGUAUCCCUAUACAGGCCACCAAAUUAUUUGAAAUGCUUGUUCUUUGGUGCCGUAAAGAAAUAGCACUUGAAAAUAAAUUUAAUUUCCUCA